UGGGCUCUGAACGGUGAAUACUUGCUUGAGU
rnacentral:piRNA from 1 species